AGAGUUUGAUCAUGGCUCAGAUUGAACGCUGGCGGCAGGCCUAACACAUGCAAGUCGAGCGCGAAAGUUUUCGGACGAGUAGAGCGGCGAACGGGUGAGUAACGCGUGGGAAUCUGCCCAGUAGAGGGGGACAACGUUCCGAAAGGGACGCUAAUACCGCAUACGCCCUAAGGGGGAAAGAGGGGGACCGCAAGGCCUCUCGCUAUUGGAUGAGCCCGCGUCGGAUUAGCUAGUUGGUGGGGUAAAGGCCUACCAAGGCGACGAUCCGUAACUGGUCUGAGAGGAUGAUCAGUCACACUGGAACUGAGACACGGUCCAGACUCCUACGGGAGGCAGCAGUGGGGAAUAUUGGACAAUGGGGGCAACCCUGAUCCAGCCAUGCCGCGUGUGUGAAGAAGGCCUUCGGGUUGUAAAGCACUUUAAGUUGGGAGGAAGGCUUGUUAGUUAAUAACUGACAAGAUUGACGUUACCAACAGAAUAAGCACCGGCUAACUCCGUGCCAGCAGCCGCGGUAAUACGGAGGGUGCAAGCGUUAAUCGGAAUUACUGGGCGUAAAGCGCACGUAGGCGGUUAUUUAAGCGAGAUGUGAAAUCCCUGGGCUCAACCUGGGAACUGCAUUUCGAACUGGGUAGCUAGAGUACAGAAGAGGACAGUGGAAUUUCAGGUGUAGCGGUGAAAUGCGUAGAGAUCUGAAGGAACAUCAGUGGCGAAGGCGACUGUCUGGUCUGAUACUGACGCUCAGGUGCGAAAGCGUGGGGAGCAAACAGGAUUAGAUACCCUAGUAGUCC
rnacentral:rRNA from 1 species